AAUAAGUCAACAUACUGUAGACAAUCAGAGUCCAGGUUGGCGCCACAAGGCACUGGAAUUACACCCAGAAAAUGAAGCAAAAAUAGAGUAACACUUGUGGAAGCCUUCAGCAACGCAGACACCCCUUCCAUUGCCACAGACAAGAUGGUUGGAGCCCGAGUAGCACAGCUGCCCAUGGGAUACUGGAAGAAGAAAGAAACUUGUCAUGGAAAUGCAAAUAUGAGUGAACACAGAUCCCCAGGGGUGGAAGGUCUGUCCCGGAAAGACCUGGAUCUGGGAACCACAUGAAAGCAUGUCUUCAGCCUGGAUGAGCAGGAGCAGAACAAAGAUUCAUUCAUUGGCAGUCUGGGUCCACAGUUCCUGAGAAGCUGAGAUGCCAGACCACGCCAGUUCUGUGUCGCAUUCAGGAAGUGACUGCCAAUGUGAGCAAAUGACCUUUAGAGAUGUCCUUUCCUAUGAAUCUGAUCUGAUGCCAUUGGUGGUGAAAUUGUUCCUGAACUGGGGGUGCAGCUAAGUCCAAGGAAGAAUCCAGUAAUCAGAGCCCAAGUCUUGUGAUGGAGUUAGUUUUCUGAACCUCAGGAUUUCCCAAUAGAACAGAGAUGCUGAGACUGAGGAAGCACUACAGCAGCUGCUUAU